rnacentral:rRNA from 1 species
AACGAACGCUGGCGGCAGGCCUAACACAUGCAAGUCGAGCGGACCUUCCGGGUUCAGCGGCGGACGCGUGAGUAACGCGUGGGAAUAUUGCCUUCUCCAUGGAAUAGUCUUUGGAAACUGGGGGUAACACCGGAUACCCUCCUGGAAGGGAAGAUUUAACGUGGUAGGAUGAGCCGGGGUUGUAUUAGGUAGUGGGUGGGGUAAUGGCCUACCAAGCCGUCGAUCCGUAGCUGGUUUGAGAGGAUGAUCAGCCACACUGGUACUGAGACACGGCCCAGACUGCUACGGAAUGCAGGAGUGGAGAAUCCUAGAAUAUGGGGCCAACCCUGAUAGAGCCAUGCCGGGUGAGUGAUGAAGGUGUUAGGGUUGUGAAGCUGUUUCAGCUGGGAAGAUAAUGACGGUACCAGCAGAAGAAGCCCCGGCUAACUUCGUG